CGAACGCUUUGUGGUUCAACUGAUUUGAAGAGCUUGCUCAGAUAUGACGAUGGACAUUGCAAAGAGUGGCGAACGGGUGAGUAACACGUGGGAAACCUACCUCUUAGCAGGGGAUAACAUUUGGAAACAGAUGCUAAUACCGUAUAACAAUGACAACCGCAUGGUUGUUAUUUAAAAGAUGGUUCUGCUAUCACUAAGAGAUGGUCCCGCGGUGCAUUAGCUAGUUGGUAAGGUAAUGGCUUACCAAGGCGAUGAUGCAUAGCCGAGUUGAGAGACUGAUCGGCCACAAUGGGACUGAGACACGGCCCAUACUCCUACGGGAGGCAGCAGUAGGGAAUCUUCCACAAUGGGCGAAAGCCUGAUGGAGCAACGCCGCGUGUGUGAUGAAGGGUUUCGGCUCGUAAAACACUGUUGUAAGAGAAGAAUGACAUUGAGAGUAACUGUUCAAUGUGUGACGGUAUCUUACCAGAAAGGAACGGCUAAAUACGUGCCAGCAGCCGCGGUAAUACGUAUGUUCCAAGCGUUAUCCGGAUUUAUUGGGCGUAAAGCGAGCGCAGACGGUUAUUUAAGUCUGAAGUGAAAGCCCUCAGCUCAACUGAGGAAUUGCUUUGGAAACUGGAUGACUUGAGUGCAGUAGAGGAAAGUGGAACUCCAUGUGUAGCGGUGAAAUGCGUAGAUAUAUGGAAGAACACCAGUGGCGAAGGCGGCUUUCUGGACUGUAACUGACGUUGAGGCUCGAAAGUGUGGGUAGCAAACAGGAUUAGAUACCCUGGUAGUCCACACCGUAAACGAUGAGUGCUAGGUGUUUGAGGGUUUCCGCCCUUAAGUGCCGCAGCUAACGCAUUAAGCACUCCGCCUGGGGAGUACGACCGCAAGGUUGAAACUCAAAGGAAUUGACGGGGACCCGCACAAGCGGUGGAGCAUGUGGUUUAAUUCGAAGCAACGCGAAGAACCUUACCAGGUCUUGACAUCCCUUGACAACUCCAGAGAUGGAGCGUUCCCUUCGGGGACAAGGUGACAGGUGGUGCAUGGUUGUCGUCAGCUCGUGUCGUGAGAUGUUGGGUUAAGUCCCGCAACGAGCGCAACCCUUAUUACUAGUUGCCAGCAUUCAGUUGGGCACUCUAGUGAGACUGCCGGUGACAAACCGGAGGAAGGUGGGGAUGACGUCAAAUCAUCAUGCCCCUUAUGACCUGGGCUACACACGUGCUACAAUGGCGUAUACAACGAGUUGCCAACCCGCGAGGGUGAGCUAAUCUCUUAAAGUACGUCUCAGUUCGGAUUGUAGGCUGCAACUCGCCUACAUGAAGUCGGAAUCGCUAGUAAUCGCGGAUCAGCACGCCGCGGUGAAUACGUUCCCGGGUCUUGUACACACCGCCCGUCACACCAUGAGAGUUUGUAACACCCAAAGCCGGUGGGGUAACCUUCGGGAGCCAGCCGUCUAA
rnacentral:rRNA from 1 species